AUUGAACGCUGGCGGCAGGCUUAACACAUGCAAGUCGAGCGGGGGAAGGUAGCUUGCUACCGGACCUAGCGGCGGACGGGUGAGUAAUGCUUAGGAAUCUGCCUAUUAGUGGGGGACAACAUCUCGAAAGGGAUGCUAAUACCGCAUACGUCCUACGGGAGAAAGCAGGGGAUCUUCGGACCUUGCGCUAAUAGAUGAGCCUAAGUCGGAUUAGCUAGUUGGUGGGGUAAAGGCCUACCAAGGCGACGAUCUGUAGCGGGUCUGAGAGGAUGAUCCGCCACACUGGGACUGAGACACGGCCCAGACUACGACGGGAGGAAGCAGUGGGGAAUAUUGGACAAUGGGGGGAACCCUGAUCCAGCCAUGCCGCGUGUGUGAAGAAGGCCUUAUGGUUGUAAAGCACUUUAAGCGAGGAGGAGGCUACUCUAGUUAAUACCUAGGAUAGUGGACGUUACUCGCAGAAUAAGCACCGGCUAACUCUGUGCCAACCGCCGCGGUAA
rnacentral:rRNA from 1 species